GAUGAACGCUAGCUACAGGCUUAACACAUGCCAGUCGCGGGGCAGCAUGGGGGUUGCUUGCAAUCCCCGAUGGCGACCGGCGCACGGGUGAGUAACGCGUAUUCAACCUGCCCUUCACCACGGGAUAACCCGGCGAAAGUCGGACUAAUACCGUAUGUUGUCCAUUGACGGCAUCCGAUUUGGACGAAAGGCUUGGCGGUGAGGGAUGGGGAUGCGUCCGAUUAGCCAGACGGCGGGGUAACGGCCCACCGUGGCUACGAUCGGUAGGGGUUCUGAGAGGAAGGUCCCCCACACUGGAACUGAGACACGGUCCAGACUCCUACGGGAGGCAGCAGUGAGGAAUAUUGGUCAAUGGGCGUAAGCCUGAACCAGCCAAGUAGCGUGCAGGAUGACGGCCCUAUGGGUUGUAAACUGCUUUUAUGCGGGGAUAAAGUGGCCCACGUGUGGGCUUUUGCAGGUACCGAAUGAAUAAGGACCGGCUAAUUCCGUG
rnacentral:rRNA from 1 species